GGGGUGGGGGGAACCGUUAGUCGCGCGCCGUGCGUCGCGCCGUGCGGGCGGGGGGCUUCGGCGCCAUUUUGGCGCUGAGGUGCAGGGGCGGCGCUUCGCCCAGCCAAGGCGUGGGGGCUGCUGCCGUGUGGGCGGCCCCGGCGUUUUGGGGACGGGGAGGGGAUGACGGGAGAGUGUUGUGGCGCACUGGGGGUGCCUGGGGCCAGUGAGAGGUCUGGAAGGGCCCAUGGAGCUGGCUUGGGGGCUGGUGUAGAGGUGGGGGGCAGCCGAGACGAGGUGGGAGCGCAGGAGCUCCUGGAAGGAGAUCCAAGGUGGCGUCAGGGACUGUCGGGCUGGGGCACAGAGAAGGACGAUUACAAUGAGUGGCAGUGGCUGCUGACGGUGUUUUUGUGCUGGCUUGUGCUGCGUGUUGAAGGGCAGCGAUGGCUGGGAGCAGUGAGCAGGCUGUUCUCCAGGGCCGAAGGAAAGGUGUCAAUAUAUGGCAUCAUGUACAAAGAAAGAGUCAGGGAGGAAACUUUCCCAGUGUUGAUGUCUGUAGCUGAGGUUCAGAGGCUGUGUAUAUUCAGUACAGAUCACUUAGGAGACAGUCCUGGUAUCCUGGGUAGAAUUUCCUGUCAAUGGAGUAAUUACAGUGCCGUAUUUGAGUUUCUUUUACAUAGCAGCAGAGAAUGGCCAUUGCAGUCAUCAAUAGCGCUUUUUCAUGUUAGGGAGCAAUCUCAUCACUGGGAUAUGAAAACUCUUUCAGACAAUGGCAGUAAAAAGAUGUUUGUCAUAAAUGAAAUGCACUUGGUUACCACUGAUGUGUUUUUAAUUAUCUAGAUUGAAUCUUCUAGGGAUGAUUCUGCUGAAAUAAAAUUAGCAACAUCAGUCGAAUAAACACAAGAUCUUCAGAAGAACUGUUCAUUGUAAUUAAUUUGCAAGUGUCUGGAUCCUGUUUUUAUAAUAACUUUUUAUUGGAGUCUGGUGGUUGCCUGUUUGACCUUUGGUAGAAGCCACAUAGGUGGAGAGUACAUUUUCAAGUACUCUUCAACUCUGAAGUAAAAUGAGAGGACUUUUGUACUGGCUGUACAGACAGAAACAGACAGUGUAGAAGUAGAGAAACAGGGGACCUGAAGGUAAGGACAAUGGCAAGGUCUGGUUUGUGAGGCAAUGAUGGUGAAGGAAUUCCAUUUUCCAUCCUACAAGGUAUGUUCAUUUGUGGAAGGAGAAGAGAGUGGUUCCGCUAUCUGAUACAGUAGGCAUCUGUAAAAGACAAAGAGGAGCAGAAGGAAAGCCCGAGAGCUUGGCUUUAUCAUCCCCAAAGCUGCAAAGAAUGGCUAUGUUAUCUGUGUCAGGAGACUAAUGGGGCUGAUUCACCUCUUCUUUAAAUGUGGUGUAAGUUGAUGCAACUGCUGAAAUAAACAAAAAAUUCCACCUGAUGCAUUUAUUCUGAGAGAAGACAAGCAGGUAUUUGAAGAAAAGUAGAUAAUUUAAAAAGAAAAUUUUGAGGAAUGUUUUGGUAUAGUUGUAUGAAAUAUGCUCUAACUACAAUAUGUAAUGGUUGUUAUCACUGUCAUGAUUGCAGUCAUCCUGAGAGCAGAGCAAAAAUCUUUAUAAUGGAAAGUAUCAGUGAAUGAGGAGUCUCAACUGUGCCACUGCCUCAGUAGCUCUGCUUGGGUUACUGAUGCGUGGUGUGGCACCUGCCUUUUGGACUCACUGGUAUGCACUAUUGCCUUGCACGAGAGAUACAACACGAGUUUUUCUGAAACAGGCCUGUGUGAGGGCCUGUCAGUUGAUUUAGAAACUAGCUCAUCACCUCUAAAAAUCUGGUCCUAAAUCCAGCAUUUUGAGGAAAUUUGAAUAAGUACAUUUUUCAAAAAGACCCACCAUCCUGGGAGCCUGUAUCUUUAGAGUGCAGAAAUGCUACAAAGUUUGUUCUGCAUUGGCCAAAAAAAAAAAAAAAAAAACAAAAACCCAAACCAAAACAACCCCCCCAAAAUGCUGGGAGCCAAUCACUUCCAGAAAGCUGGUUUCAGUGCAGUGGUGGAAUACUUGGAGGUCAGGCCCACAACUCCUAUAAUCCGACUUGGAUAUCCAGCGACUGUCUCUGGUUGGACGUGCAGUAGUGACAUACAGCGUCUGAUUUGAAUGCUCUAUACCACUGUUCAGUUUAGCAAAAAUCUGAAUGGCUGCAGUGAGCUCAUGUUCAUGGCAGGUGCAGCUGGCUCUUCAAAUCGGAGGAGAAAGUUUAUAACACAAAUGUUAGAGGUCUGUGUGCUAAGCACAAAAAUGCUUGGAGGGGCAGGAAGCUUUAGCAUUCAGGGAACAGUCCUAAAAUUUAGCAAGUUCCAUGAUAGUGGCAUUCCACUGGAAUUCAGAAUCAAAGGACGCUUUCAAAACAUUUGUUUUUCACCUUCUUUUUUCUUAUUUUUCCUAGUUGCAGUGGUGGAUAGUGGGGAGAAGAGGACGUGGAUAACUGCAUCACUGACCACCGCAGAACUUCUUUUGCCGUGACAUUGUAAUGGGAGGUGGAGACACCUCGAGGAGAAGGUCAAAACAGACAACAGCAAUUAUAGUCAAUAGCCUCCAUGACUUGAGAAAAUCAGGCCUCAAUUAUAUGCUUAAAUGUGAUCUGUCUGUGCCAUCUUUCCCAUGUACAGAAACCUCAGGAGGACUGUCUACCCUUCAAAAUCUGUUACAAUAUAUUUUAACUGUGUGAUAUUGGAGCCCAGCCACUCUUGGUAGGUUGCAGAAAGAGGACAUAUAAUCACAGUACAUCUUCAGAGGGCUUCCUAAAAAGAGGAAAUAAAUCAAGUCUCUUGGCAAGGACCAGGACUACAAAGAAAACAUCCAGUAGGAGGAGCUCUCUAGACAUCUCAGCUUAUCACUUUUCAAUCCCUCAUAGCUGCAUGUUUCAAGGGCAUCACUUUAGAGCUGCUUUCUUGGGACUUCCUUGCAGACAAACCAGCAGCAGCAGAAGACACAGACAAUCUCCUGGUACUGCUGCUGAGCAGCUGCAGUGAUUUUUUAAAGACUUCUCAGGUUCCUUUUUCCACAGUUGUCCAUUCAGAAACUUCAAGUGUUCAUGAAAACCUUUGGGCUUCUUUUUGGCCCAUUUGAAAUGUUUUAUCUACCAAGGAAACAAAUAUAAGAUUUUAUAGACAACAUCCUAACCACAAAGUAAAGAAUUCCAAAGUGGUGCUUGCUUUUGCGAAGAAAGAUAUCCUGCUGGAUUCCUCACAACUUCACAAGGGGACCUCUAAGCAGAGCUCUGAAAUGUAUCAGCACAACUCUGAAUAUUGGUCUUACAAAGCUAUUCAAAUAAUUCUGCCUCCUUGUAUAUAGUUCAUCUUUUUAUUCUGUGAGAAGCAGGUCUGGAGGACAGUAGUUGUGCUCUCUUGCACAGCACUAUGUUCUCCUUAGCUAGGUACAAAGUCUCACCCUGCUUCUUAGGCCCAGGCCUGCAGUCCUGAAUUGCCUGGGCCCCAUGACGAUGCCUCUGCACUGGCUCUUAAAAAUAAUUCAGAUUUUUUAAUGUGGUGGGCUCUGUGCUUUUGUAAAUCUGGCCCUCAUUUAGUUAUCUAAUUGGGAACUAGGUGCCUUCUGGUCUUGAAUGUUGUUAUAAUAAUUAUUUUGAUCCUGAAUGAGCCAGAAACUAUUCUAAUGCAUAUCAGUGUAAAUUAAAUGAAUAGAGAUUUUUCAAAUUUAUCCUAGUGUUCAGAGAAUGGAAUUCAUGCACUUCAAUUUACAGCUUAUUAAGUGAUCAGAAUUAAUGAACUCACAACAAUCUUUUCUGUUCUUGUUUACACAUUUUCUUCCUAUUCACUCAUAAUGUACAUGGCUUAGAAAAAGCAAAGAGUUGAAAAGGCAGUGUGUGGGUCAGAUAUGUCCCAUGGAGCACAGCAUUGUGCUUCAAGGCUUUAGUCACAUUUGCAAAGCGACUAUGUAGAAACUACACCUUCUGACUCAGCUGAGCAGUAGCCUGUGCAUUCUGAUUUGGAUCUGCUGACCAUGAGCAGACAGAAGCAAAGAUCUUGCUCCUUUUUAUUCCCAUUAACAUGGCGUAGGAAUGAGAGAGUGGGUUUCAAAAACAAAGCCAAGUGCUGCCCUUGGUUCCUUCUGUGCCACCAGUAAGAGAAUGUGCCCUGCAGAAUCUUUAGCACUGCUAGUGAUGUGCAGAAACCCACCUUGCUUUUCAGAACCCUGUUUCUGUUCUGGAAACUAGAAAAAUAUUUGCACUGAGGAACAGAGAUGUUCUUCAGAAUCACUGGAGAACAAUGUGUAUAGAACAACUCUUCUGUUUUUUUGAGAGUCAUUUUUCAGUGUAGUACCACAUUUCAGUCUGGAGACUGGGAAUAAUGGAAACCGUAGGAUCUGCCUUGCCUUUUAUUCUGAAAUUUAGAAGUCACAUAGAAUGACAAGAGGAAAACCUCACAUAUGAUGAGCAGUAAUCAGUGCACACAGCAACAAACCAAACAGAAAAGCUAGAAACACUUGCGUCAAUCUUUUGAAAAAAGAGCAACAUCACUGAAAAUAUUUAGAACUAUUAAGAACAGUAUUACUGAAAAUAAUGUACACCAGCCUUCUAAAGGACUGCCUCAGUAUCACCUUCAUAUGUAUUUGGCCUUCUAGUCUUAAUUAGGUAUUUGAUGUUUAAACUACACUCAAGGUACCAACUGAAGGUUUAUCUCACUGUGGUUUUUCAUAAUCUUCUUGGUCCGGCUCAAGGUUGAAAUGAUGAAAGGAUCCCAUUGAUUUUUGUGGUGUUUAAGGCUAAACUUGUGGGACUGGAUGCUCAUCUGAACAUCAUUUCUCUCUGACUUCAUGGCACAUGACAACUUUUCAAUGCUCCAUCUGAUCAGCUGCAAAAUUUCAGAGACUUCCUAUUAUUAGUGGGAGAGAACACCACUAAUUUGUGAAAAGAAUAGAGAAACAAAAAGGGAAAAAUGGGGGAGAGGCAAUAAUUUAGAUAUAGCUGCAUCUCGAGAUCAAGAAACUGGAUGAUAGCACUCAUAUGUGUCCCUAGCAUACCAAUACCUUUAUCUCAUCUCUGCCUAUCACUCCAGUGAAGUUUAUCAUGUGAGCACACUGAAAGACCUGUCGCCAGAUAAAUAAUAUGGGGCUUGUGUGCAACCUUUGCAGAGCUGGAAGAGACUGAAUAUCCAGAAUUAGGAGGAAGAGGGAUGGGGGCACACAGCAACCCUGGUGUGAGGGAAUUGAGGGUACCUCAGUAGGGCGAUAGUGUAGGGGUGCAGAAACCCUGAUGGUGACAUUUAAAGGACUCUUUUACAUGGAAGGGCACAUUCAGGGAAAAGGGGUAGGUGGGACUCAGAGUUGCUAUUGUAGGAGAGAAAGAGGGAUUCCCAAAGAGGAAAAUGAGUGGAGCAAAAGGAUUCCUGAAGAGGAAAGGGUUGGAACCUGGUGACUCCUACACAGAUGGCUUGGGGGCACAUGCAGAGCCCCAGGCACGAGAGUGGGGCUGAGAGAGGUGUUUGGAAAGGUGGCAUAUGAGGCAUUUGUGAAGGAGGGCUUAUGGAGUAAACCACUGCAUGAGAGAGCUAAAUCUCUAAAGGAACUGUUGUCAAUAGUGAACUUCGCUGAAGAAAUGAGAACUAGAGUGUGGGCCAGGCAUCUCACACUGACCAGAAACUCUGACAAAGUGGGAGUGAGAGAUGCCAAGGCCUAUAUAAAUUAGGCUUUCUACAUUUUACCAGCAAAUGAGAAGGGUUGUUUCAAUCCCUAUGUGCUGGUGGUGGCUGAUGCAGGGCUUAUUGAAAACUGGAGAAACUGGUUAGUAACUCAGGCAGGCCAGAGUGGCUGGACAGAGCUCAGAGCAGAGCUACACAAACAGCUGACUGUGAUCCUCGUCCUUGCAGAGCACCUGAACUGCCUGUAUGGCUGCUCCUGUCCGGGGGGCUGGGGAGGUGGUAUAUCACGGUGGCUGCUGUGCAAUCCUGCUGCUAUGCAGAGGCGGGUAGUCUCCGGAAAUUGAUGUGCUGCAAGUUCAUAGGUUUGUUUACCUAUUUUUGCUUAUGUGCCUGCAAUACUGGCACUAAGACAUGAGAGAGACCCGCAGAGGAAGGAGUAGUGAAGUGAUACUGGAGCCACUCUGAGGGUUACUCCAGGUUCCUGAAAAGAAGGUAGGGAAGAAGAGGAAGGUAGAGCAUGCUGGAUGUACAGGAGUCAGCUUUAAGUACGACUGACUUAAAUUUCUAGUUGAAAACAAGCAAGCCCUAGUAUAUAUUUCAAGUACUGCUCUAUUUUCUGAAGUUGUUUCCUUUUUCUCUUCUUUCCUUCUUAGUAUCAGGUAUUAGAGCAGCCCACAAGACAAUAAUUGAACAACACUGCUACAAUUUCCAAGUUCUGUUUCUUUAAGAAGUUCAGAAAACUUGUCACAAUACCCCAAGAAAGCUCUUUCUGCUGUGCUGUUUAAUCCAAAGUAGUUUAUAUCAGAUUUAUGUUCUGGCAGCUCUGUGAUAAGCUUGGACUCUACCACAUUAUAAACAUAAAAAAUUACUUAAAACCAUUGUUACUAAAUUUAAAGCACUGUUUUGUUUCAUGAAGUCCUGUCCCCUUGUAUGAGGGUUGUGGUCUCCAUGGUUCUGCACCUCAUACAUUUACAAACUUGGGCAACCUGGGAUGAAGACACCUCUACCAGUGACAGCUUAAUAUUUUGGUAGAUUUAACAUCUUCUCUGUGCUUAAACUGUGCAUGUCUAAAAUACAGCAGAAGAUGUAAAGCACUGAAGAAUUCAAUGAUGUUUGGUGUUUAGAUAGACCAAAGAGUCCUUGAUAUUUAAAUGCUAGGUUUGGCCUCUCUCAUGUAAGUUACCUUAAACCUGAUGUCUAGAUUCAUAAGGCUUCCCUGAAACCUUGGCAAAAUAUGAGUCUUAUCAUUAAAGAAUUCAUCUUGAAAUUACUUGUCUUGAAAAGGUUAUAUAUGACUUGCAUGGGACCAUGCAACCUGGUCUCUUUUUGAGUUUCUGUACUCAUCACCAUCACCGUCUGUUUUAAGUGUUCAAUAUUUGG